GACCUAACCCAUUUUGCCCUUAAAAACCAAAGUGGUAUGGUCGCGAAACACAACCAGUAUAAAGAACUCCUAGUCAGAGUUCGCACUGGUUGUGUCAUAGCUGGAAACGGUUAUGGGUACUCUUUGGAGUAUC
rnacentral:sRNA from 1 species